rnacentral:rRNA from 1 species
AUUGAACGCUGGCGGCAGGCCUAACACAUGCAAGUCGAGCGGGGUUUUCGGACCUAGCGGCGGACGGGUGAGUAAUGCGUAGGAAGCUACCCGAUAGAGGGGGAUACCAGUUGGAAACGACUGUUAAUACCGCAUAAUGUCUACGGACCAAAGUGUGGGACCUUCGGGCCACAUGCUAUCGGAUGCGCCUACGUGGGAUUAGCUAGUUGGUGAGGUAAUGGCUCACCAAGGCGACGAUCCCUAGCUGGUUUGAGAGGAUGAUCAGCCACACUGGAACUGAGACACGGUCCAGACUCCUACGGGAGGCAGCAGUGGGGAAUAUUGGACAAUGGGCGCAAGCCUGAUCCAGCCAUGCCGCGUGUGUGAAGAAGGCCUUCGGGUUGUAAAGCACUUUCAGCGAGGAGGAAGGGGUGAGUGUUAAUAGUACUCAUCUUUGACGUUACUCGCAGAAGAAGCACCGGCUAACUCUGUGCCAGCCGCCGCAGUAAAAC